rnacentral:rRNA from 1 species
UACGUAGGGGGCAAGCGUUGUCCGGAAUCAUUGGGCGUAAAGAGCGUGUAGGCGGCUCGAUAAGUCUGCUGUGAAAGUCCAGGGCUCAACCCUGGAAGGCCGGUGGAAACUGUCGGGCUAGAGUCCGGAAGAGGCGAGUGGAAUUCCUGGUGUAGCGGUGAAAUGCGCAGAUAUCAGGAAGAACACCCGUGGCGAAGGCGGCUCUCUGGGACGGUACUGACGCUGAGACGCGAAAGCGUGGGGAGCGAACAGG